rnacentral:rRNA from 1 species
CGCUGGCGGCAUGCCUAACACAUGCAAGUCGAACGGAGUUCGAGGGCUUGCUCCUUGAACUUAGUGGCGGACGGGUGAGUAACGCGUGAGUAACCUGCCUUUCAGUGGGGAAUAAUAUUCUGAAAAGAGUACUAAUACCGCAUAACGUAUAGAAGCCGCAUGACUUUUUAUACCAAAGAUUUAUCGCUGAGAGAUGGACUCGCGUCCGAUUAGCCAGUUGGUGAGGUAACGGCUCACCCAAAGCAACGAUCGGUAGCCGGACUGAGAGGUUGAACGGCCACAUUGGGACUGAGACACGGCCCAGACUCCUACGGGAGGCAGCAGUGGGGGAUAUUGUGCAAUGGGGGAAACCCUGACAACCAGCAAUGCCGCGUGAAGGAUGAAGGUCUUCGGAUUGUAAACUUCUUUUGUCAAGGACGAUAAUGACGGUACUUGACGAAUAAGCUCCGGCUAACUACGUGCCAGCCGCAGC